AUUGAACGCUGGCGGAAUGCUUUACACAUGCAAGUCGAACGGCAGCACGGGUGCUUGCACCUGGUGGCGAGUGGCGAACGGGUGAGUAAUACAUCGGAACGUACCCAGUCGUGGGGGAUAACGUAGCGAAAGUUACGCUAAUACCGCAUACGUCCUGAGGGAGAAAGCGGGGGACCGUAAGGCCUCGCGCGAUUGGAGCGGCCGAUGGCGGAUUAGCUAGUUGGGGGGGUAAAGGCCUACCAAGGCGACGAUCCGUAGCGGGUCUGAGAGGACGGGCCGCCACACUGGAACUGGAACACGGUCCAGACGCCUACGGGAGGCAGCAGUGGGGAAUUUUGGACAAUGGGCGAAAGCCUGAUCCAGCCAUUCCGCGUGAGUGAAGAAGGCGUUCGGGUUGUAAAGCUCUUUCGGCAGGGAAGAAACGGCUUGGGAUAAUACCCCGGGCUAAUGACGGUACCUGAAGAAGAAGCACCGGCUAACUACGUGCCAGCCGCCGCGGUAA
rnacentral:rRNA from 1 species